rnacentral:lncRNA from 1 species
GGUUCUUUCAAUCUAUCCUCCCAGGGCUUGGCUUCCAGGUCCAGCAGGGGGUUCGACUCGAUGGUCUCAUCGGCCCUUCCAAGCCCAUCAUCUUAGGACAGAUUUGCCAGGCUCUGUUUCUUGCGCUUCUUAUUGGUAACCACCGGUCCCAUGUUCUCCCUUUCAGAGCUUCAGCAUCAGGUCAGCAUCCAGUUGUAGGGCCAGGAAUAUGCUGAUGAGGCUGCUCAAGAUCUGCUCCGCACAGCUGGAGAGAGCAAGACCAAGCUGCUGGUCCCUCUGUUGAUUGAAGAGAUGCUGAAAGAGGUAAGAGGCCAUGUAUAUAUGUAAAGGAGAGGCUAUAUAUCUGGCCUUUCUUUCCUCAUGCUGGGUAUAGCAUGUUAUCCUUAUCAUAGCUUUCACUCUAUCCUCUUUUAUAUUUUCUAUGAUUAGAGUAAAUUUAUGUAAUACUCCUUGCAUUUCUAUUUUGUGAGCGAGGCGGCUUUGAAGGCUCAGUGGCCAAUGUUAGCUGUUCUUGUUCGCUACUGGCCACGGCAGGACGAAAUUCUAAGACAGUUCCCAGAUGUCCUCAAGGAGAGCAGGAUGGUGGACGCUUCCCUCAUGGCCAAAGGACUUUACUUAUUCCUAGAAGUCUGCGUGGACUGUCAUCCCCCAAACCUCAAGAAGGUCUUCCGGACUCUUGAGAAGUCCACGUUCAGCAAGGCAAGUCAGAGAAGGCUCUGAUGGGGAUCCCUCCCACCCAAAACGGAAGCCCCCGUUGGUUGCUCUCCACACGUCCGGGGGGUGGGGGUGGGGUUGGCCGUUAGAAAGAAAUCAGAAGAGUGGCUCUGGGGGGUGGGGGUGGCCGUUAGAAAGAAAUCAGAAGAGUGGCAUCACUAGGUUACACUGCCCAGAAUCCUCCAGCUGACACAGGGAUGCGGGACAGUUUUCACCCCAUCCCAGAGCAGCCUGAAAAUCAUCCCAGUGCCCAAGAGCUUUGCUGCUCUCACGUCUGGUGAUCUGGAGAUCUCUCCGGCCUCUUCAACGUCAUGGAAGGGAAGGGUGGAUCCCAUCGCCACAAGGAGAACAUCAUGGCUGAGAUGAAGACGAGGGCCUAGAGCCGUGGGUGCAAGGCAGAAAGGUCUCUCUGGCUUUCCAAGCCAGGAGUAAAAGCAAAGUCUUGCAACCCGACACAGACAAAGGGUGAGGGCCAGAGACGUGGGUGCAAGGCAGAAAGGUCUCUCUGGCUUUCCAAGCCAGGAGUAAAAGCAAAGUCUUGCAACCCGACACAGACAAAGGGUGAGGCCCAAACAUUGAGGGGAUUCAGAGAAAACCAUGCAGUCCAGAGGGAAAGUGGUUUCCAUGCCCAACCAAAAAGAAAUUUACUUUUUUUGGACUACAGUAAAAAUGACCAUUCUGGCUGUGUGACGUUAGCUCUAUAAUCCAAAAGAAAGAGGAGGAGGGGGAGGGAGGGAGGGAGGAAGGAAGGGAGGAAAAAGAAAAGCAUAGGGGGAAAAAAAGAGGAAAAAAGAGUCCCAGAGGGCUUCCUGGGAUGGGAUGUUGUGAUAAACAGAGGACAGUAAACAGGCCAGAUAAUAAUGGUUUUAAGGAUGAUGAAAGCAGCCUGCAGGCCAGCAGCCUUCCCCUCCUUGGUCAUCUUGGGCCACCAUGACAUGUCAUAGAAGAAAGACAAGCCCUCUGUCCCCCCCUCAAAAUUUUCCCUCAGAGUGAAUGCAGUUCUGAG